GACGAACGCUGGCGGCGUGCUUAACACAUGCAAGUCGAGGGGCAGCACGCAGAUAGCUUGCUAUCAGUGGUGGCGACCGGCGCACGGGUGAGUAACGCGUAUCCAACCUGCCCCAUACUAGAGAAUAGGCUUUCGAAAGAAAGAUUAAUUCUCUAUGUUCUCAUAAGCAGACAUCCAAUUAUGAGCAAAGAUUUAUCGGUAUGGGAUGGGGAUGCGUCUGAUUAGGCAGUUGGCGGGUAACGGCCCACCAAGCCACCGAUCAGUAGGGGUUCUGAGAGGAAGGUCCCCCACAUUGGAACUGAGACACGGUCCAAACUCCUACGGGAGGCAGCAGUGAGGAAUAUUGGUCAAUGGAUGAGAAUCUGAACCAGCCAAGUAGCGUGAGGGAUGACUGCCCUAUGGGUUGUAAACCUCUUUUAUGCGGGAUAAAGUGAGUGACGUGUCAUUCAUUGCAGGUACCGCAAGAAUAAGGACCGCUAAUUCCG
rnacentral:rRNA from 1 species